rnacentral:rRNA from 1 species
GAGUAACACGUGGGCAACCUACCCUAUAGUUUGGGAUAACUCCGGGAAACCGGGGCUAAUACCGAAUAAUCUCUUUUGCUUCAUGGUGAAAGACUGAAAGACGGUUUCGGCUGUCGCUAUAGGAUGGGCCCGCGGCGCAUUAGCUAGUUGGUGAGGUAACGGCUCACCAAGGCGACGAUGCGUAGCCGACCUGAGAGGGUGAUCGGCCACACUGGGACUGAGACACGGCCCAGACUCCUACGGGAGGCAGCAGUAGGGAAUCUUCCACAAUGGGCGAAAGCCUGAUGGAGCAACGCCGCGUGAGUGAAGAAGGUUUUCGGAUCGUAAAACUCUGUUGUAAGGGAAGAACAAGUACAGUAGUAACUGGCUGUACCUUGACGGUACCUUAUUAGAAAGCCACGGCUAACUACGUGCCAGCAGCCGCGGUAAUACGUAGGUGGCAAGCGUUGUCCGGAAUUAUUGGGCGUAAAGCGCGCGCAGGCGGUCCUUUAAGUCUGAUGUGAAAGCCCACGGCUCAACCGUGGAGGGUCAUUGGAAACUGGGGGACUUGAGUGCAAAAGAGGAAAGUGCAAUUCCAAGUGUAGCGGUGAAAUGCGUAGAGAGUUGGAGGAACACCAGUGGCGCAGGGCGACUCUCUGG